GCGGGCAUAGUUCAAUGGUAGAACAUCAGUCUUCCAAACUGAAUACGCGGGUUCGAUUCCCGCUGCCCGCUCCA
rnacentral:tRNA from 1 species